rnacentral:rRNA from 1 species
GGGGGGGGGGGGGGGGGGGGGGGGGGCGGGGGGGGCGGGGGGAGGGGGCACGGCUGGCUGUGGUACGCGGGUGGCGAACGGGUGGGUGGCACGGGGGGGAUCUGCCCUGUCCUUCGGGGUAAGCGUGGGGAACUGGGGCUAAUACCGGAUAGGCAUCACAUGUGGGUGUGUGGUUGGAAAGCUUUUGCGGUAUGGGAUGAGCUCGCGGCCUAUCAGCUUGUUGGUGGGGUAAUGGCCUACCAAGGCGUCGACGGGUAGCCGGCCUGAGAGGGUGUACGGCCACAUUGGGACUGAGAUACGGACCAGACUCCUACGGGAGGCAGCAGUGGGGAAUAUUGCACAAUGGGCGCAAGCCUGAUGCAGCGACGCCGCGUGGGGGAUGACGGCCUUCGGGUUGUAAACUCCUUUCGUCAGGGACGAAGCGAAAGUGACGGUACCUGGAUAAGAAGCACCGGCUAACUACGUG